GGUAGUAUAGCUCAGUGGUAGAGUGUGUGAUUAAAAUGCACAAGGUCCUGGGUUUGAUACCCAGUACCUCCA
rfam:Camelus ferus unplaced genomic scaffold scaffold804, whole genome shotgun sequence.